UGCCAGCGUCCCUGCAAUAGAAGGAAUAUAAUAUACUGGCCUGAGGUUUGAGUGUUGUUGGUCACAAAACGCUUGAGACAUCUGCGCUCUAUCCCAGAUCUAUUUCCUCCUGCUGCUCUUGAUAAGCACGCAAGGAGUCCUUUCAUCUCAGAUCGUUUGGACAGCACUACUCGAUCAUAAUCUACAACCUUAGGUUUGGGGCUGGAAUGCUAUCGAAUAUUUUAAGCUCGGUUAUUUGAACCAAGAUCAGUAUACAAUGAGAAUGGAACUCUUGUUGUCGCAAUUUUUGAUAUAUCGAAAAUGCCAUCAAGAAUAUUUGUUGUCAAAGUGUUUUCACGACUUAUUCAAAGACAACAAGAAUGGAACUCGGGAUGUCAGUUCAAAUGUCAAAUUCUCAAAACUUUUGGAAGGCAACUUGUGGAACUUUAGGUCAUGAGGAUGGAAAACUUAUGUGCGCUUAUCAUUUCAUCAACUUUCUAGUUCCUGUUUUGAAAGUUGAUAAACAAAUCACAUCUCCAUGAGACUUUGAAUCGUAAAAGAGAAUGGAACUUGGAUUGCCACUUUAACUAUCGAAUUCCUGGAUAUUUUUGAAAGGCAACUUGUGGAAGGAAUUAGAGCUUUAGAUCACGAAGAUGGAAAACCUUUAUCGACACUUUUCAUUCUGCAACUUUCCAGGUUUUUUUUGUUCUAUGUUCAUAGCAAAUCCAGUCUCCAAAAGGAGCUUGAAUUGUAAAUGAGAACAGAGUAUUGUGCUUGUAAUUUAUUUCUUCUUCAGAUUUCACUUUCUCGUGUAAUUGUA